GAAGCGGCAACAGCUCAAAUUUGAAAUCUGGCUCUUCCGGGGUCCGAGUUGUAAUUUGUAGAGAGUGUUUCGGGUGAGAUCGCGGUCUAAGUCCAUUGGAACAUGGCGUCAUAGAGGGUGAGAAUCCCGUAUGCGACUGUGGAUCGAGCCCAUGUGAAGCCUCUUCGACGAGUCGAGUUGUUUGGGAAUGCAGCUCAAAAUGGGUGGUAAAUUUCAUCUAAAGCUAAAUACUGGCUGGAGACCGAUAGCGCACAAGUAGAGUGAUCGAAAGAUGAAAAGCACUUUGGAAAGAGAGUCAAACAGUACGUGAAAUUGUUGAAAGGGAAGCGCUUGCAACCAGACCUGUCCGUAGGUGAUCAGCCGCUGUUCUCAGUGGUGCACUCGCUCUGCGAUCAGGCCAGCAUCGGUUCGGGCGGUCGGAUAAAGGCCUUGGGAAUGUAGCUUCUUUCGGGGAGCCUUAUAGCCCUCGGUGCAAUGCGGCCAGCCGGGACCGAGGACCGCGCUUCGGCUAGGAUGCUGGCGUAAUGGUUGUAAGCGACCCGUCUUGAAACACGGACCAAGGAGUCUAACAUCUAUGCGAGUGUUUGGGUGUUAAACCCAUGCGCGGAAUGAAAGUGAACGGAGGUGAGAACCCUUAAGGGCGCAUCAUCGACCGAUCCAGAUGUCUUCGGAUGGAUUUGAGUAUGAGCAUAGCUGUUGGGACCCGAAAGAUGGUGAACUAUGCCUGAAUAGGGUGAAGCCAGAGGAAACUCUGGUGGAGGCUCGCAGCGGUUCUGACGUGCAAAUCGAUCGU
rnacentral:rRNA from 1 species